AUUGAACGCUGGCGGCAGGCCUAACACAUGCAAGUCGAGCGAGAAAGUACUUCGGUACGAGUACAGCGGCGGACGGGUGAGUAACGCGUAGGAAUUUGCCUAGUAGUGGGGGACAACAGUUAGAAAUGACUGCUAAUACCGCAUACGCCCUACGGGGGAAAGCAGGGGAUCUUCGGACCUUGCGCUAUUAGAGAAGCCUGCGUCGGAUUAGCUAGUUGGUGGGGUAAAGGCCUACCAAGGCGACGAUCCGUAGCUGGUCUGAGAGGAUGAUCAGCCACACUGGGACUGAGACACGGCCCAG
rnacentral:rRNA from 1 species